rnacentral:rRNA from 1 species
CCCUAGUAACGGCGAGUGAAGCGGCAACAGCUCAAAUUUGAAAUCUGGCUCCUUCUCGGGUCCGAGUUGUAAUUUGUAGAGGGUGCUUUGGCGUUGGCCAUGGUCUAAGUUCCUUGGAACAGGGCGUCACAGAGGGUGAGAAUCCCGUACGUGGCCGCUGGCCUUCGCCAUGUAAAGCCCCUUCAACGAGUCGAGUUGUUUGGGAAUGCAGCUCUAAAUGGGAGGUAAAUUUCUUCUAAAGCUAAAUAUUGGCCAGAGACCGAUAGCGCACAAGUAGAGUGAUCGAAAGAUGAAAAGCACUUUGGAAAGAGAGUCAAAAAGCACGUGAAAUUGUUGAAAGGGAAGCGCUUGCAGCCAGACUUGCCCGUAGUUGCUCAUCCAAGCUUCGGCCUGGUGCACUCUUCUGCGGGCAGGCCAGCAUCAGUUCAGGCGGUCGGAUAAAGGUCUCGGGAAUGUGGCUCUCUUCGGGGAGUGUUAUAGCCCGGGGCGCAAUGCGGCCAGCUUGGACUGAGGUCCGCGCAUCUGCUAGGAUGCUGGCGUAAUGGCUGUAAGCGGCCCGUCUUGAAACACGGACCAAGGAGUCUAACAUCUAUGCGAGUGUUUGGGUGUCAAGCCCGAGCGCGUAAUGAAAGUGAACGGAGGUGGGAACCCGCAAGGGCGCACCAUCGACCGAUCCUGAUGUCUUCGGAUGGAUUUGAGUAAGAGCAUAGCUGUUGGGACCCGAAAGAUGGUGAACUAUGCCUGAAUAGGGUGAAGCCAGAGGAAACUCUGGUGGAGGCUCGCAGCGGUUCUGACGUGCAAAUCGAUCGUCAAAUUUGGGCAUAGGGGCGAA